CCCGCAGCAUCCAGGCCCCACGAGCGCCGCCAGGCACAUCCCAGAGCCCUUCCCAUAGAGCCCAUUCUCCCUGGAGCCUCACACUAACCAGAACCCCCAGCACAGAGGGGAGGGUUCGGGGUGGUUUGAAGGCACAGAUUUGGGACCUACCGAAGAGAGCCGGGUACUGACCAACAGCUCGGGGCUCUCCCCGGUGCCCUCCCAGCUGCAGCCGCGCACGGACCCCCGGCCGGGCUUUGUUGCCGGGGCCGUGGGUGCCGGGGCCCGCCGAUCCCCUCCGGCCGGGGCAGGGCAGGCCCGUGCCGGCCACGCCAGGCUAACUACACAGCCCUGGAAACUGAACCCUCAGACUAUCCACAGACCAUGGCAGCAUAGAGGAAAAGAAGCAUCUUUCCGGCACUCUCCAGAGCAGUGCCUGAAGCCCAGGAAUGUCUUCUCCCAAAGGCAGUGAGGAAACCUGGGUACCAAGAGGAAAAAUUGUAUGUUUUUUUGUGUGCCUGUGACACACCUGCCCAAACACACUCCAGGUUUUUUUCAGCAGUAUGAACUGAAGGUGUUAUUUUCUUACAGUAUGAGGGUGUCACACUGUGAGUUCAGCAGCACUGGUGCAAAAGUGAGGCAUUCACUGGGGUACAAACUAUGUUGGGAUCAAAUUCUGUACUUUUCAGCCUGUUCUGAAAAUAAACACUCCCUGAGUACUGCUGGCCUUCUUUUUCCAGA